rnacentral:rRNA from 1 species
UACAGGCUAGCGGCGGACGGGUGAGUAACAACGUGGGGUAACCUAGCCCCAAAGAGAUCGGGAUAACACCUGGAAACAGAUGCUAAUACCGGAUAACAACAGAUGAUGCCUAUCAACUGUUUAAAAAGUAUGGUUCUGCUAUCACUCUUGGAUGGACCUGCGGUGCAUUAGCAGUUGGUAGGGUAACGGCCUACCAAGCGAUGAUGCAUAGCCGAGUUGAGAGACUGAUCGGCCACAUUGGGACUGAGACACGGCCCAAACUCCUACGGGAGGCAGCAGUGGGGAAUCUUCCACAAUGGACGCAAGUCUGAUGGAGCAACGCCGCGUGAGUGAAGAAGGGUUUCGGCUCGUAAAGCUCUGUUGUUGGUGAAGAAGGACAGGGGUAGUAACUGACCUUUGUUUGACGGUAAUCAAUUAGAAAGUCACGGGCUAACUACGUGCCAGCAGCCGCGGUAAAU